GCACUGCUGAGGAGUCCCAAACCAGGACGAAACGGCCGUCCAGUGC
rfam:Schistosoma curassoni strain Dakar, Senegal genome assembly, scaffold: SCTD_contig0007240